rnacentral:lncRNA from 1 species
UGGUGACUCACUCUGUGCCAGGAGGAAACUGAGGCUCAGGGUGAUUAAGCAACCUGCUCAAGAUCCAAUUACAAACCGGUGUGACAGGACGAUGAAAUAAUGAAAGUAUCCUGGCAACCGUAUUUUCCUACCGACUGUGGCCUGCAACACUGUGACGACCGUCAGCUACAUUUUUCUGAAUUCAGGAGGCAACUACAAAACAACUGAUGAGUGCAAAAAUGAAAGAAUCAGAGCUUGCUGAGACACGCUUGCUUGUGAUGAUACAAAUAGUUCUCUCUCAGGACAGAGAGAGGUGUCUGUCGUCUUUACCAUUUCAAGCCAACGCUCAGCAUAGUGUCUGGUACAUCAAAGAAACCCAAGUGAAAAUUAAUACCAUGUGAUACAUGGUUUAUGUUGUCUUCUUCCACCUAUUCACUAUAAUUUGGAAAUGCUGAUGAGUAGAAUAAAUAUUCAAGAGAGAUGUGACGGAACAGAGGAGAGAAAAAGAAGUCUGAG